rnacentral:rRNA from 1 species
GAUGAACGCUAGCGGCAGGCUUAACACAUGCAAGUCGAGGGGCAGCACGUCUUUGGAUGGUGGCGACCGGCGCACGGGUGAGUAACGCGUAUGCAAUCUACCUUUUACAGGGGCAUAGCCCGGGGAAACCCGGAUUAAUAUCCUAUAGUACCAUUAUAUAGCAUUAUAUUAUGGUUAAAGUUUCGGCGGUAAAAGAUGAGCAUGCGUCCUAUUAGCUUGAUGGUAAGGUAACGGCUUACCAUGGCUAUGAUAGGUAGGGGUCCUGAGAGGGAGACCCCCCACACUGGUACUGAGACACGGACCAGACUCCUACGGGAGGCAGCAGUGAGGAAUAUUGGACAAUGGGCGCAAGCCUGAUCCAGCCAUGCCGCGUGCAGGAAGACGGCCCUAUGGGUUGUAAACUGCUUUUAUACGGGAAGAAACACCCCUUCGUGAAGGGACUUGACGGUACCGUAUGAAUAAGGAUCGGCUAACUCCGUGCCAGCAGCCGCGGUAAUACGGAGGAU